rnacentral:tRNA from 1 species
GGAGAGGUGUCAGAGUGGCCGAUCGUGCAGCUUUGCUAAAGCUGUGUACCGUAAGGUACCGAGGGUUCGAAUCCCUCCCUCUCCGCCA